UACGAAGGGGGCUAGCGUUGCUCGGAAUCACUGGGCGUAAAGGGUGCGUAGGCGGGUCUUAAGUCAGGGGUGAAAUCCUGGAGCUCAACUCCAGAACUGCCUUUGAUACUGAAGAUCUUGAGUUCGGGAGAGGUGAGUGGAACUCCGAGUGUAGAGGUGAAAUUCGUAGAUAUUCGGAAGAACACCAGUGGCGAAGGCGGCUCACUGGCCCGGUACUGACGCUGAGGUGCGAAAGCGUGGGGAGCAAACAGG
rnacentral:rRNA from 1 species